rnacentral:rRNA from 1 species
GACGAACGCUGGCGGCGUGCUUAACGCAUGCAAGUCGAACGGAAAGGCCCUGCUUUUGUGGGGUGCUCGAGUGGCGAACGGGUGAGUAACACGUGAGUAACCUGCCCUUGACUUCGGGAUAACUUCAGGAAACUGGGGCUAAUACCGGAUAGGAGCUCCUGCUGCAUGGUGGGGGUUGGAAAGUUUCGGCGGUUGGGGAUGGACUCGCGGCUUAUCAGCUUGUUGGUGGGGUAGUGGCUUACCAAGGCUUUGACGGGUAGCCGGCCUGAGAGGGUGACCGGCCACAUUGGGACUGAGAUACGGCCCAGACUCCUACGGGAGGCAGCAGUGGGGAAUAUUGCACAAUGGGCGGAAGCCUGAUGCAGCAACGCCGCGUGCGGGAUGACGGCCUUCGGGUUGUAAACCGCUUUCGCCUGUGACGAAGCGUGAGUGACGGUAAUGGGUAAAGAAGCACCGGCUAACUACGUG